AGUCUGCAACCCGACUACAUGAAGCUGGAAUCGCUAGUAAUCGCGGAUCAGAAUGCCGCGGUGAAUGCGUUCCCGGGUCUUGUACACACCGCCCGUCACACCAUGGGAGUCGGAAAUGCCCGAAGUCGGUGACCGAACCGAAAGGAAGGAGCCGCCGAAGGCAGGUCUGGUGACUGGGGUGAAGUCGUAACAAGGUAGC
rnacentral:rRNA from 1 species